rnacentral:rRNA from 1 species
UACGUAGGGGGCAAGCGUUGUCCGGAAUCAUUGGGCGUAAAGCGCGUGUAGGCGGCCCGAUAAGUCCGCUGUGAAAGUCCAGGGCUCAACCCUGGGAUGCCGGUGGAUACUGUCGGGCUCGAGUCCGGAAGAGGCGAGUGGAAUUCCUGGUGUAGCGGUGAAAUGCGCAGAUAUCAGGAGGAACACCGAUUGCGAAGGCAGCUCGCUGGGCCGUUCCUGACACUAAAGCGCGAGAGCUAGGGGAGCAAACAGG